rnacentral:misc_RNA from 1 species
AAAAAUAAGGAUGAGAUUAUUACAAUGAAAGUGUAUACUGACAUUGUAUUAAUCUUGUCUGAUGUUCUAAUUAACAAAUACCUUCAAGUGGUUUAGAAUGAAUAAUAUACGAGAUGUAUAUUAUCUAGAAGUUGUUAAGUAAACGAAGAGGAGUAAAAGGAUGUAUUUUUAUUGUUGUGGGGUAUCAUUUGUGUAGUGGUUAUAUUGUUGAAUGUGUGUAAAUAAUGAGGAUUGUUUGUUGGUUGGUGUAUAAGUAGAUAAUGAUAAUGUAUACAAUACAGGGUUAUACAUA